rnacentral:rRNA from 1 species
UACGUAGGGUGCGAGCGUUAAUCGGAAUUACUGGGCGUAAAGCGUGCGCAGGCGGUUGUGCAAGACAGAUGUGAAAUCCCCCGGGCUUAACCUGGGAAUUGCAUUUGUGACUGCACGGCUAGAGUGUGUCAGAGGGAGGUAGAAUUCCACGUGUAGCAGUGAAAUGCGUAGAUAUGUGGAGGAAUACCGAUGGCGAAGGCAGCCGUCCUGGGAGUAACACUGACGCUCAUGCACGAAAGCGUGGGGAGCAAACAGG